ACUGAACGCUGGCGGCAUGCCUUACACAUGCAAGUCGAACGGUAACGCGGGGCAACCUGGCGACGAGUGGCGAACGGGUGAGUAAUGUAUCGGAACGUGCCCAGUUGUGGGGGAUAACUGCUCGAAAGAGCAGCUAAUACCGCAUACGACCUGAGGGUGAAAGCGGGGGAUCGCAAGACCUCGCGCAAUUGGAGCGGCCGAUAUCAGAUUAGGUAGUUGGUGGGGUAAAGGCUCACCAAGCCGACGAUCUGUAGCUGGUCUGAGAGGACGACCAGCCACACUGGGACUGAGACACGGCCCAGACUCCUACGGGAGGCAGCAGUGGGGAAUUUUGGACAAUGGACGCAAGUCUGAUCCAGCCAUGCCGCGUGCGGGAAGAAGGCCUUCGGGUUGUAAACCGCUUUUGUCAGGGAAGAAAAGGCUCCUUCUAAUAUAGGGGCUCAUGACGGUACCUGAAGAAUAAGCACCGGCUAACUACGUGCCAGCCGCCGCGGUAA
rnacentral:rRNA from 1 species